rnacentral:lncRNA from 1 species
UCUAUAUGUGGAUUCGUUUUAAUAAGAGCUCCAAACUCAAUUCCCCUCUUUAUUUUCUUCAGUACUGACCAGGAAAAACAGCCCAGGUGUGAAUCGUCUGCAGGCACAUCCUCCCUGGUGGCUGCCCCUGGCGUCAGUGUCUGGGUUUGUGUUACUAAUUGGAACCGUGUUUUUGGGGAGGAAGGCUUGCAGAUCAACCCAAAGAGAAAACAACUCAAAGUAAGUCAUUGUCAGUUCCCAGAGAGAUAUAACAGCUUGUAGGGUAUUUUUCUGGCUUCAUGUUGUGCUUCAUUUUCUACUAGGCAAAAAAUAGAAGAGGUUAAAACCAACCCUGACAAUGAAGACAAGAGAAUGGCAUACAAGGUGGAAUACAGCUCUAUGCCUGAUCUGGCAGAUGUGAAAAGUCCUCCCAGCAGUCCAGACAACAUCUAUGUUACCAUGCAUGGUUUCCCAUUUGCAGCAGAUGCUCCUGUCACAGCUGGACGCAGCAGACGUCUUCCCUCUGACUGGCAGCCAAAGGAUGAGGAUCCCAUAUAUGUCCGCUGCCACCAAGAUUUAUCAAUCAGAUCAUGUCGCUUAAAAGAUGAGACACAAAAUAACUGAUUAUUUAAAUGAAUGAGAGUAAAAGUCAUCUGUAUUGUCAGAUACAUAUAAUAUAGUCCCCAACAGGCCUGUUUGAAUUUUUUGUUUCUUCAGUACUCACCGACUGAGUAUACAUUAUCCCUCAUAAUAAAUCUGUUUUCAUCUGUCUAAAUAUGCAUGCAGUUUAAUGUCAUUUUGAUUAUGUAGCUUUCUUUUUGUCCACAUGCACCUCUUCCAUCAUCUGCGAGGUGUCAACGGUGGUCAGUUACUGCACUUCAUUGUGAGCUUCUCCUCUUUAUCUUCUCAAUGACUUCUCAUCAGCAUGAAAUUGCCACUUCUUCUAACAGACCCACUGUCUCUGUUUCCGAGGCAAACACAUUUUUUCCUGAAGUCCUAAUAGUGGAGAAGUGAUGCUCUGCCCUUUGAGAUUUGAGGAACCAC